UCUGAUAUUCUAUAAUUGGAUAUACCUCUGCCAGAAGUGCAAGAGUUGAGAAUCCUCAAACUAGCUUUCAACUAUGCGGCAAACUCUGAACUAGAAACUCACAGUAUUAGGUUGCCAAAAGAAAGAACUGUUGGUGAUGUGCUUGAGGAUCUCUAGGCGAAGGUGAAACUUUCUUGUCCAAAUGCAGAGCUCAGGUUGCUGGUAGUAUUCUUGCACAAGAUCUAUAAGAUAUAUCCUAAUAGUGAUAAGAUCGCAGCAAUAAAUGACAACCGCUGGACUUUAUGAGCAGAGGAGGUCUAUUUCUAUCUCUAUACAUAUGUGUGUCUAUGUAUAUAAAUGC